AGUGAAGAGAUUGUAAGUUUUUCAGACAUUGCAGUGUGGUGAGUUAGUACCUCUCUUGUAUGCUUGUAUGCUCAGCAUGUUGUGCAGGUAAAAAAUGUUGAUGCUUGUAUGCAUAAGUUUCAGAAAUAUAUAGUACUUAUCAAAACCAAUUUUCUGGUAGAUGUCUGCAGCAGCAUUUGCCAAAGGCCUUCUUGAUUUGGAGGGUCAGUUAACUCCAAUUCUGGAUUCACUGGUUAGUAAAGACUCUUCUAUGCUGGAUGGACUAGAAGAUGCUAGCACUGAGAUGGAUGAAGCAAAGGGCCUGGUUGUUCUUGGCUUUGGAGAGGCAGAGGAACUUGGACCUUGCUUACUUUAACAGGAGACUUGCAAAAAGG